UACGUAGGGUGCAAGCGUUGUCCGGAAUUAUUGGGCGUAAAGAGCUCGUAGGCGGUUUGUCACGUCUGCUGUGAAAACUCGGGGCUCAACCCCGGGCCUGCAGUGGGUACGGGCAGACUAGAGUGCGGUAGGGGAGACUGGAAUUCCUGGUGUAGCGGUGAAAUGCGCAGAUAUCAGGAGGAACACCGAUGGCGAAGGCAGGUCUCUGGGCCGAUACUGACGCUGAGGAGCGAAAGCGUGGGGAGCGAACAGG
rnacentral:rRNA from 1 species